rnacentral:tRNA from 1 species
UCCUGGUUAGCUCACUUGGUAGAGUGCUCCACUGAAAUGGAGAGGUCUUCGGUUCGAUACCAGGACCAAGCU